CGCUAUCUCUGCUCCUGCCGCCCGGAUAAUACCGUGGUUUCAAUCGUUGUGCGGCAUCCCUGGGCGUAAAGUGUGCGUCGGUGGCCUGCUAAGUCAGAUGUGAAAGCCCUGUGCUCAACCUCGUAAUUGCAUCCGAUACUGCCAUGCUCGAGUACUGAAGAGGUGACUAGAAUUCUAGGUGUAGCAGUGAAAUGCGUAGAUAUCUAGAGGAAUACCAAAGGCGAAGGCAGGUCACUGGGCAGUUACUGACACUGAGGCACGAAGGCCAGGGUAGCGAACGGGAUUAGAUACCCGAGUAGUC
rnacentral:rRNA from 1 species